GACGAACGCUGGCGGCGUGCCUAAUACAUGCAAGUUGAGCGCUGAAGGUUGGUACUUGUACCAACUGGAUGAGCAGCGAACGGGUGAGUAACGCGUGGGGAAUCUGCCUUUGAGCGGGGGACAACAUUUGGAAACGAAUGCUAAUACCGCAUAAAAACUUUAAACACAAGUUUUAAGUUUGAAAGAUGCAAUUGCAUCACUCAAAGAUGAUCCCGCGUUGUAUUAGCUAGUUGGUGAGGUAAAGGCUCACCAAGGCGAUGAUACAUAGCCGACCUGAGAGGGUGAUCGGCCACAUUGGGACUGAGACACGGCCCAAACUCCUACGGGAGGCAGCAGUAGGGAAUCUUCGGCAAUGGACGAAAGUCUGACCGAGCAACGCCGCGUGAGUGAAGAGGGUUUUCGGAUCGUAAAACUCUGUUGGUAGAGAAGAACGUUGGUGAGAGUGGAAAGCUCAUAAAGUGACGGUAACUACCCAGAAAGGGACGGCUAACUACGUG
rnacentral:rRNA from 1 species